rnacentral:rRNA from 1 species
AGCAGUAGCCGCGGUAAUACGAAGGGUGCAAGCGUUAAUCGGAAUUACUGGGCGUAAAGGGCGCGUAGGCGGACAGUUUAGUCGGGGGUGAAAGCCCGGGGCUCAACCUCGGAAUUGCCUUCGAUACUGGCUGUCUUGAGUGUGAGAGAGGUGUGUGGAACUCCGAGUGUAGAGGUGAAAUUCGUAGAUAUUCGGAAGAACACCAGUGGCGAAGGCGACACACUGGCUCACUACUGACGUUGAGGCGCGAAAGCGUGGGGAGCAAACAGGAUUAGAUACCCCAGUAGUCCCUGUCUCUUAUAA